GCCGAGAAGCGCUGCAACGGGCACUCGCCCGCCAGGCUCGGAUUCACAGUCGUCAUUUUCGAUUCAACGGCGCU
rnacentral:ncRNA from 1 species